UCCCCAGCUUCCAGCCACGACUGUUUGAGUGCUCCAGCCACAUGGGCUGCCUGGUCCUCGCAGAAGUGGUGUUCUUCAGCCAGGAGGACCUGGACAAGUAUGACAUCAUGUUGCUGGACACCUGGCAGGAGGGCUGUGGGUGAGUCUGACCCUGUCACUGAGCAGUUGCAUUGCGGUGCAUAUGAGACCAUGGAUGAGUGUGCAUCACCAGGUGGCAGCAGUGAGACUCCGGGAGAUAGGAGUGUGUUGGAACUCAGGGGUAACUGAGACCAUGUUUGCAGUUGUGUGUGGCCCUGUGUGCCUUCUGAUACUAUGUGUGGCUCCAGCGACAGUGCCUGCGGCCGAGCAUGUGUCGGUGCUGCAUGAGUGACUGUGAGUGGAAUGCCCAAUCGCAUCAUUCAUGUGUGUGGCUUGGUGUGAGCGUUUGCCUUCGUGCACCUGUGUGUGACACUUUGUCAGUGACUGUGAGGUCACGUGAUGCUAGAACUGGCCAGACCAGUGGCAACUGGUGAAAAUGUGUCUGUGAGCAAGACCAUGACUGGCUGUGGGCGAAUGAUGGAUGGGUGUGUUUGUGGGUCUGUGUUUCUGCGCACAGUGGUAUAACUGGCCGGGUGUGCGUGGCUGUGUAAACAAGUGCUGUUGUGUUUGCAUGCAGCUCUGUGUCUGACAACAGUGGAUGACAGUGUGUGGCUAUGGUUUGCUGUCUGGCUGUGUGGCGAUGGAUGACUGUGUGUCUGUGUAAGCUGCAAUUAUGUGUGUUCUCUGCAUCUCUGUGGGGCCGUGUCUGCAGCACUGUUUGAAUUGGUGAUGAAGCUGUGUGCUCCCAUCUCACUCAGAACAAACCCAGAGCUCUUACCACAGCCCUACGUGACCUGGCCAGCCCCAACUCUUUGACCCAAUUUCCCCCUGCUCCCCCCUCACUGCUUCUGCUGCAGCCACAAUGGCCUCUUUGUGUUCCCUGAACAUGCCGGGCACACAGCCACCUCGGGGCUUUUACACCGGUUGUUUCUUCUGGUUAGGACACUUUUCCUCCAGACAUACAUGUGACUUGCUCUCUCAUGAAAGCUCUAUAAGGGCAGGGAUUUUUGUCCAUUUUCUUUCAUUGUUGACUCCCCAAAGCCUAGACCAAUGCCCGGCACACAGUAGGUGCUCAAUAAAGUAUUUGUGGAUUGAUCUCCAGGUAAAUCAUGCAA
rnacentral:lncRNA from 1 species